ACCGGAAUCUCCUUCCGUCAACUCCAUGGCUCAAGGCAGGACACACAGAAGACCUAACCUUUGUAUGGGGUCUACCUUUCGUUAAAGAAUUAGACGGUAUCCAUGUGUAUAACAUGACGACCAAAGAAAAGGCAUUAAGUGUUUACAUUAUGGAGAUGUGGACUGAGUUUGCUAAAAAUGGAGUACCCAGUGAUGAAUGGCCUCAAUUUGAGAAACCGGGACUUCACUACCAAGAACUAUCUAUAGAAGAUGGGAGUUGGUAGAGCUGCGAGAGCAAAACAGUGCAACUUCUGGAAUCCGUAUCUGCUGAAACUAAAAACUUACACAGAUAACGUUGAAGAUAUCUGGAAUGAAUGGCUGGAAAGCAACAACGUAUGGAAAGAGGAUUUCGUAACUUGGCAAGGACUUUUCGAAGAAUUUGAAAAUGAUUUGAAUUGUAUAUGACAGUGAAUAUCCGGUGAUUUCAUAUUACUCAUCUCUAUAAACGCAUGUGUGAAUAGAAUGAAAAAUGUUGUCAAUUAUCAUUUUCUAAGGAAAAAAACGUUGAUUAUUUAAAAACUACAAAAGAGUAGCCGCCAUUCAUCUUUUUUUUAAACUGUUGAUUUUUUGCACAAAAAAAUGAAAUUAACUUCUCUGCUGUUUUGAGCCUGUUCUUUUGAGCCCUCUCUAUGUAAUGUAUUAUGUCUGAAAGACCCAAGUUGAAUACUUAUCCUACCUUAUUCUCGAAUGCAUCUAAAAACUUACUUCAUGUCGUUCAUGUCGUUGAGAAAUGUUUUUUUUUUACAAAUACAAAAUACGAGGUUAUUUACAGACCUCACUCCCCUUUACAAAGUUAUCAUUUAAAUUUUGUACAAAUAACUAUGAUCUGUUAGCCUGAUUUUUAAAAUGAGUAAUGAUUAAACAUUUUAAUCCAUUUCUUUUAAUGACUCUUCAUAACUUUUAUGAAUAAACACAUAUCAUUGUAAAGGGUGUGUCUGGCAUAUAUCGGAAGUUUAAUGUAAACCACGCAUAAGGCAAGUCUAUAGUUCAUGAAUACGUAUCACGAUAAUUGCUACUUUAACAAAUCUAAGCCAAUGUAAUCUCAUUCUUUUAUCAUUUUAUCAAUAAGUAGUCAAAUAUUUAUUCUAAGCCUAACUCUAGACAUGAUACCAAAAGUUCGUGACACGUCAACAUACUGCUUUCAGCAUGUACUGUAUUUUUUCAUCAUGUUGACUCAAAAGUCAAAUAAGAGGGAAUAACAUCAGUCUCCCAGCGAAAGCACUUAAUUGAGUAUAGAGAUAGGAAGGAAUAAACAUCACUUCCCCAGCAAGAUCCCUUAAAGGGAUGGCCUGGGCUGAAAAUAUUUAUAUCUAAAUAAAUAAAGUAAAA